AUUGAACGCUGGCGGCAGGCCUAACACAUGCAAGUCGAGCGAGCGGCGGACGGGUGAGUACUGUGUGGGAAACUGCCUGAUGGGGGGGGAUAACUACUGGAGACGGUAGCUAAUACCACAUACCGACAGGUGUGCGCAGAUGGGAUUAGCUGGUAGGUGGGGUAACGGCUCACCUAGGCGACGAUCCCUAGCUGGUCUGAGAGGAUGAUCAGCCACACUGGAACUGAGACACGGUCCAGACUCCUACGGGAGGCAGCAGUGGGGAAUAUUGGACAAUGGGCGAAAGCCUGAUUCAGCCAUGCCGCGUGUGUGAAGAAGGCCUUCGGGUUGUAAAGCACUUUAAGCGGGGAGGCGUUACCCGCAGAAGAAGCACCGGCUAACUCCGUGCCAGCAGCCGCGGUAAUAC
rnacentral:rRNA from 1 species